rnacentral:rRNA from 1 species
CGAACGGGGGCGGCGGCGAUGAAAUGAUUAGCUUGCUAAGAAUGGAAAAGCGGCCGUCCUAGUGGCGGACGGGUGAGUAACGCGUGGGCAACCUGCCCUGUACAGGGGGAUAACACUUAGAAAUAGGUGCUAAUACCGCAUGAGCGCACAAAGGCGCAUGCCUAUGUGCGGGAAGCCCGCGAGGGCGGUACGGGAUGGGCCCGCGUCUGAUUAGCCAGUUGGCAGGGUAACGGCCUACCAAAGCGACGAUCAGUAGCCGGCCUGAGAGGGUGGACGGCCACAUUGGGACUGAGACACGGUCCAAACUCCUACGGGAGGCAGCAGUGGGGGAUAUUGCACAAUGGGGGAAACCCUGAUGCAGCGACGCCGCGUGAGUGAAGGAGCGUUUCGGCGCGUAAAGCUCUAUCAGCAGGGAAGACAAACUGCCCCGGAAGGGGCAGCCGGACGGUACCUGACCAAGAAGCCCCGGCUAACUACGUGCCAGCAGCCGCGGUAAUACGUAGGGGGCAAGCGUUAUCCGGAUUUACUGGGUGUAAAGGGAGCGUAGACGGCAAGACAAGCCUGGAGUGAAAGGCGGGGGCCCAACCCCCGGACUGCUCUGGGAACUGUCUGGC